rnacentral:rRNA from 1 species
UGGGGAAUUUUGGACAAUGGACGCAAGUCUGAACCAGCCAUGCCGCGUGAAGGAUGAAGGUCCUCUGAAUUGUAAACUUCUUUUAUCUGGGACGAAAACGGGAUUUUUAUCUCAAUUGACGGUACCAGAGGAAUAAGCACCGGCUAACUCCGUGCCAGCAGCCGCGGUAAUACGGAGGGUGCGAGCGUUAUCCGGAUUUACUGGGUUUAAAGGGUGCGUAGGUGGGCUUAUAAGUCAGUGGUGAAAUCUCCGAGCUUAACUUGGAAACUGCCGUUGAUACUAUAGGUCUUGAAUUAUCUGGAGGUAAGCGGAAUAUGUCAUGUAGCGGUGAAAUGCUUAGAUAUGACAUAGAACACCAAUUGCGAAGGCAGCUUACUACAUAUAAAUUGACGCUGAGGCACGAAAGCGUGGGGAUCAAACA